GGUGUUUGUACUCUGGGACGGAGCUCUCUAACCAGCUAUAUUUAUCUUGUAGCUGCAUACACACACACACGUACACACACACACACGUACACACACACACACACACACACACACACACACACACACACACGCACAUAUUCGCGAGCGGUUUGUCAAUGAGAGUGGGGCAGUUGGCCAGAAGCCCGUGACUGCAGAAACUUUGUUCCGUCCUCUCUUGACUUUCAGCUCCGAGUGCAGAUAACAGGGUCUUGCUGCAGAAGAGCAAGACGCUGGCCCCCUGAGGGCUCCAGGAGGUAUUUGCUUCACUCCAGGGGAAAGACAGGGGCUGGGUACCAGGUGCGGGAGCAGAUCCCUGGGUGGAAUGGAGUUCCCCAGGGGCCCCAGGCUUGCCAUGGAAGAAGGUCUCAGGAGAUUAGAAGAGGAGGAAGAGGGUGAUAAUAGCAGCAAUGUGGUACCGCAGGAGCUGGAUUGGCUGCAAUUGUACCUCAGCCCGUUACCUGAUGGCUACAUGAAGGCAAAAUUCACCCUGUCAGCCUACCUGGCAUGCUGGCUCAUUCUGAAGCUGUGCAAGAAAGCCUAUGAACAAAGACCUCAUUCAUCCAAACAGGUCCUCAGGGAAGUGAGGCUUCCCCACUUCUGCUUACCGGAAGCUGGUCAUA
rnacentral:lncRNA from 1 species